UUACUCCUACGGGAGGCAGCAGUAGGGAAUCUUCCACAAUGGACGCAAGUCUGAUGGAGCAACGCCGCGUGAGUGAAGAAGGUUUUCGGAUCGUAAAGCUCUGUUGUUGGUGAAGAAGGACAAGGUUAGUAACUGAACCUUGUUUGACGGUAAUCAACCAGAAAGCCACGGCUAACUACGUGCCAGCAGCCGCGGUAAUA
rnacentral:rRNA from 1 species